GCCAUUGAUGACUCUUUGUAGUUCAAUCGAAAUGCAAGUCAACAAGCUUGCAUAAAUGUUGAAAUAAUUUUAUGAACUAGGACGGUCUGAGGC